GUAGGUGGCAAGCGUUGUCCGGAAUUAUUGGGCGUAAAGCGCGCGCAGGCGGUUCUUUAAGUCUGAUGUGAAAGCCCACGGCUCAACCGUGGAGGGUCAUUGGAAACUGGAGAACUUGAGUACAGAAGAGGAAAGCGGAAUUCCACGUGUAGCGGUGAAAUGCGAAGAGAUGUGGAGGAACACCAGUGGCGAAGGCGGCUUUCUGGUCUGUAACUGACGCUGAGGCGCGAAAGCGUGGGGAGCAAACAGGAUUAGAUACCCUGGUAGUCCACGCCGUAAACGAUGAGUGCUAAGUGUUAGGGGGGUUUCCGCCCCCCUUAGUGCUGCAGCUAACGCAUUAAGCACUCCGCCCUGGGAGUACGGCCGCAAGGCUG
rnacentral:rRNA from 1 species